rnacentral:tRNA from 2 species
GGGCCGUUAGCUCAGUUGGCAGAGCAGGGGACUUUUAAUCCCAAGGCCCGGGGUUCGAAUCCCCGACGGCCCACCA